UACAGAGGGUGCAAGCGUUGUUCGGAAUUAUUGGGCGUAAAGGGCGCGUAGGCGGUGCGGUAAGUCACCUGUGAAACCUCUGGGCUUAACUCAAAGCCUGCAGGCGAAACUGCCGUGCUUGAGUGUGGGAGAGGUGCGUGGAAUUCCCGGUGUAGCGGUGAAAUGCGUAGAUAUCAGGAGGAACACCGGUGGCGAAGGCGGGUCUCUGGGCCGAUACUGACGCUGAGGAGCGAAAGCGUGGGGAGCGAACAGG
rnacentral:rRNA from 1 species